rnacentral:lncRNA from 1 species
CCUCGGCCUGUGUCUCUGCCUCUCUCUCUCUCUGUGUCUCAUGAAUAAAUAAAUAAAAUCUUAAAAAACAAUAAUAAGACCAGGAAGGCUCACACUCGGGACGCGCACCCUUAGGCCCCGAUGUCAGCAGCCCCUCCCCGAGCUGGGGGCCACCCUUUGCUCUACCUACAGUGGAGACACUGUCUUGGUAGUCAGGUGUAAUGGCAGGAGAAUAGCCUUUAAACCAAUCUAACUUAUUUUUUUAAUUAAUUAAUUUAUUUAUGAUAGUCACACACAGAGAGAGAGGCAGAGGGAGAAGCAGGCUCCAUGCAGGGAGCCCGAUGUGGGAUUCGAUCCCGGGUCUCCAGGAUCGCGCCCUGGGCCAAAGGCAGGCGCCAACCCGCUGCGCCACCCAGGGAUCCCUAAUCUAACUUAUUUUUAAGUAAAUCACUGACAAACUAAAAUUAUUAAUGAUGCCAAUUUAUCUAAGCUGCAUCUCAGGACCUGCCCUAUGUAGCCUAUCUCAGCAGAGCUGCUGCAAGCCCCGGGAACCCAGAGGCUUCCGUUGAAGUGAACCAACCCAAUGCUGUUCCCGUCAGAAUCCCUUGCAGAACACGGACAGAUCAAGCCGUCAAGAUCCAUUACCCAGCCGAAGUGACAGCACAUCCGCGUAUGAAGUUUGGGAAGGAGUCUCUCCACUCAGCCUACAAGGCUUUCCUCUCCUGUUGAUCUUUUCUUAAAAAAGGCUGUUUAUUGGGGUCCCUUUCUCUCCAGCCCAUUUGCUGGAGUAGGGCUUUGCAAAGCCGGUCUCCUAGCAGCCGAGUGCAGAAGGCCCAUUCGUAUUACAAUGGACGGGAAGGAAAGAAAGAGCCUGGUCUGUUUAAACUGCCUCUGUCUUCAUUCACAGCCUGAUGUCCGCCUGCAUUGUGACACCCACAAUGGCACUAAAGGACUCAUUGUGGCCGAAAACAAAUCAAAACAGAAUAAGGGACGCUAAGAUAAAAGAGUCAUGCAGCAAAAUUGCUUAAAAAAUCUAAGUCUUACAUCUGAGAUUUAUGUUACCUUUUGGCUGUGUGGCCUAUUGACCGGUGUUUAUAAUAACCACUAGAGUUUAAUAAACAAAAAGAUAAAUGGGGACUUCA